rnacentral:lncRNA from 1 species
AGAAUCAUGGGCUCUUGUGAAUUUAUCUGAGUCUGGAACUGGGUGAAGCUUGUGUAAUCUCAUUAUGAACCCAAAUCUUGCUCCAAUAAGGUCCACUUAAUAUCAGUAGUUGAUGGAUUAUAUGGUAGUAAUAGGUAUGGGCUCUCUUCUUUGGCUACUAUGGGAUCUUAAGUAAAGCGAAUAAAGAGGAUGAAGAAUCGACAAAUGGUGAGCCUUCGUCUCAUUCAGCCUUCAAAUUGUAUUUUAUUCAUAUAAAUAAAACUGAGCCACAAGAAAACAAUGUAGGUUGCAAGUUCAAGUUGAUUUUUUU